UUUCGUCUUGCCCGCGUACGUCAAGGGCCCAGAUUGUGCAUCUGUUCUUCAUGAAAAACUAUUUGGGUGUAGUGUGUGGAAAAGAAGUACCGUACUCUGCAAAACUCAGCAAUUGAAGAGUGAAGUGGUCAGUUGACCGGCGACCACUUUCUGUGCGAGAAUUGAUGUGAAAAUCACCGAAUUAACCCUUCCUUGGCUUAGUGCUUUGUGUCGACUGUUUUGCCAGUGCCUGGGGUGGCCUCGAUUUUUCAUCACGAUGCAGCAACUUCAGCAUCCUGUGCGAUCUGAGAAGGAGCACCCGUCUCUAACUUAUAAGCUCACUGGUUGCAGGCGUUUCCUGUCGUUCAAGCGGAUGCUCCUAAUAGUGACCGGGCUGGGGAUGAUCGGAGUACUGGCUUCUCUUAGCUCCUCACAGCAAAUCUCGACCAUAUUGAAACGUUCUUUUGAGCGGUCCAUCUCUAUAACAAGAGGACCCAUCUCCUCAUCACUGAGAAUGGGUUUGUAGAGAGCCUAAAGGCGCCUGUAGAUUUUAACCCAGUCUAUCAAACUAUUAUAGAAUCUUCCACCAUGGAGUCCAAAAACGUUAAAGAUUUUUUGUCUCUGAGACCUCUGGACCAUCCCCUGGAGACAGACGUCCUUUCUAAAACGUUGAAAAGUAGCGAGGCUUUGAUACUGGAAGCUCAGCGAAUUCUCCUCAGUAUGCUCAGAGAUUUGCUCGGCAAAGCUCGUCACGUGAUACUGUUUGAAAUAGCGACGUACAGCAACAAGGGAGACCCUGCCACAUCUGUCGGAGAAGCCAUGUUACUGAGGAAACCCAACGUCACAGUGGUGUAUUAUUGCGAGACACAUCACUGUACAGCAGAGAGCGUUGAGCGUGCGAGAAAGAUCAGCGAGUCGUAUGAACAGGAUGAAUUAGUGAUUUUAAUGCAGGGAGGUGGCAAUUUGGUAGGGUAUCAUGGAAUGGAUAUAAUACGUGAACGUGUUCUGGAUGCUUUCCCCACUAGAACUAUAAAGUGCUAUUUUCCCAGAGCAUCUGGCUAAACAAGUUUAAUAAUGAGAGCCUACUGUACUGCCAGAAAAUUUACUCAAACCGAAAGAAUUUCGUGAUGUUCCUAAGAGACCACCAGUCCUUGGGUACAGCUCAAGAAAACUUUAAGGGCAUCAAGCACGUGUUAGCACCGGAUAUGGCUUUUGGUAUAGGAAUGCUGCCUCGUCAAUUGCCUCCAGCUUUUGAUGUGAUCUGGCUAAAGAGGGGGGACAGAGAAUCCCCGGGCUAUACAACUGACGAUUUACCCAAAAAUAUUUCAUUCACGUACCACGUGAGCGAUUACCUGGGAUGGAAGUCCAACACAGGAGCCACGGACAUGGAGACGUCUUUCUUGAUCGCCACUGCCGGUUUGCAGUUUCUACAGCGGGGACGGGUUCUUAUCCCAGAUCGUCUCCACGGACACAUUCUGAGCACCCUCCUCAACUUUCCUCAUGUUUUGUAGGACAACCCGCCUUUUCUUAAACUCUCGUCCUUCCACAAAAGCUGGACGGCAAGUCAAAGCAAUGUGGUCUUGGUGACGGAUAAACACCAGGCUGUUAGAGAGGCUCAGAAACUUCUGGAGCGAUACGAUUCACAGUGUUGCCUAAAGUAGGCCCUUUCAUGAGUAAAAAAAAUCUGGGAACACUAAUAAUACAUUUCUUCUGGCAAGAGAAACAAAGAAUGUCAUCUAGUUAGGGAGCUAAUAACUUUAUUCGAUGGACUCACGCCUUACUUAGUUGACCAUAGAGGAAAGCUAACUCAGACCAAUCAAAUGUCUCUGUCCGUUGUGAGCGUUCCAAAGCGGGAUCUUUCAGACAUAGCUGACAGCAGGGUUAAGUUUCUUUGUCGAUAUCAUACGCAUAGGUUAGAUUUCUUACCUACAGUGGUUUUGA
rnacentral:misc_RNA from 1 species